rnacentral:lncRNA from 1 species
GCAAAUGGCUAAGGCUCACCCUUAGCCCACUGGCCAAGCUGAGCAAAAGCAAAUUGUGACUUGCUCUUUCUCCUGCUGGGACCCUGGAGAAGCCCUAGGGCAUCCAUCUGUAGAGACCAGAGAGGGACACAGCCCACCUCCCAGCACCACCUUAUCACAGUCUCUUUUCUAGGUGCUGGAAAUACAGCUGUGGACAAAACAGAGUCCCUGCCCUCCAAGAGUGCACAGCCUACAGAAGGGAGCUAGAGAAGGAACAGACGCGAAAGCUACGAAGUGUCACAUGACAGCCAGAGCUGAGGGCAAAUAAAGCAGGGUGAGUGGAGACCA